GAUGAACGCUGGCGGCGUGCCUAAUACAUGCAAGUCGAGCGAACGGACGAGAAGCUUGCUUCUCUGAUGUUAGCGGCGGACGGGUAAGUAACACGUGGAUAACCUACCUAUAAGACUGGGAUAACUUCGGGAAACCGGAGCUAAUACCGGAUAAUAUUUUGAACCGCAUGGUUCAAAAGUGAAAGACGGUCUUGCUGUCACUUAUAGAUGGAUCCGCGCUGCAUUAGCUAGUUGAUAAGGUAACGGCUUACCAAGGCAACGAUGCAUAGCCGACCUGAGAGGGUGAUCGGCCACACUGGAACUGAGACACGGUCCAGACUCCUACGGGAGGCAGCAGUAGGGAAUCUUCCGCAAUGGGCGAAAGCCUGACGGAGCAACGCCGCGUGAGUGAUGAAGGUCUUCGGAUCGUAAAACUCUGUUAUUAGGGAAGAACAUAUGUGUAAGUAACUGUGCACAUCUUGACGGUACCUAAUCAGAAAGCCACGGCUAACUACGUG
rnacentral:rRNA from 1 species